CCUGCUCCCCAGUCUCCUCCCUUCGUUACUCCUGCCUUCCUCUGUGUGUGUGUGUACCCAGAACCCGCGGCAGCGGCUGCAUUCGUGGAAACUUGCAGGCUUCGGCCAGUCGGUCCUCAGAUAGGUCCUCUUUCCUCCAGCCCCUCACACAGUCAGCACUCAGAUGUUCACACACGGAAAGGGUUACGUUUUCCGUAAACCACAGAAGCAGCAGAAAUAUGAUAGCUCAAGCCAAAACACUGUAUGAUAACGAUCAGAGGAGAAUAAGGAGAUGCAACCAACAUAGGUGGUGCUGGGACAUGACGACAGCAGCAGCAAUUACCUCCAGGAAGAGUGACAUCAUUGCAGCAACUGGGGAUCUUCAGGAGCCUCUAAGGAAAUGGAGACACUGAGGAAAUGCAUCACCAUCUACAGAUAAAACUGAGGCUCAGAGGUUUUAAACAACUUGCUCAAGAGAACCAGAUGGACAAUUCAAGUCUUUUCACCAGAACUGAUACUCUGCAUGAAAACUGCCUCCUAAUAGAAGAAAUGUUUCUCUUAUGUGGAUUAAAAUUUUCCUCCUGAGACUAAAUCUUAAAAUUCUAGGAUUUAAGACUGAAGCUUUUCAUAUAGCCUCUUUGCUAACCCUAGCCCCAGCCUUUGCCCGAACACUCACUAUGUACUGUGGGGAUAUGGUAGAGAUGGGAAGUAAAUCUCUUCUUGAGCCCUGAGUACUGGCUAGAUAAUGCCUAAAUCCCUUUUGUUUGAAUCAGUGAACAUUCUUAAAGCCAUCUUUGCACAAAGCACUAUUUUAUGUUAGUGCAAGUCAUCUCUUUUUCAGAGAUGCGUUAAAGAGCCAAGUUAGUGUGGAAUUUAGCUAUACAAAUGCUCUAGCUAUCUUGAUAUCAGGAAACAGAAAUAUAUCUGUGAACAUCUUUAUGUCCAUCACUCAAACACUUCCAUGCCGUGGCAAUCCAUAGCCUCUUAGGAGAGAUAAAGAGUGGGCGGUGGGGGAAGGAGGAUGGAGAGAUUGAUUCUCAUCUCCAUAUAAAACAAACAUUUGAAUACAGAACAAUUUAAAAAAUCAAUUCAGAUUUUCAGAUUUCAUUUGUUCAUUUAAUAUAAAACUCUCUAAUCCCUGUUACCCAAUUUUCAGAUGCUUUAAUGGAGACUUCAUAUGUAUUAAUAGGUAGGUACAAUGCUACGAAAUGUGCACUUUUGUUUUACUUUUGUUUUUUGGAGGAAUUAUGAGUUUCUCAAGGUCAUGUGGUGGCCAAAUUGUAGUCCUUGGAAAAGAAUCUAGAAUUUCUAACUUCUGGUUUAGUGUUGUAUUCACCACUCCCUGUAUGGGGUUAUAGAGUCUUCAAGGAUACUCUGCAAAAGGUAGAAAAGCAUAUGGCAAGAUGGUUAAUGUUAUCUUAGAGCAGUAGUAAGACAAGUGGAAGAUCAGCUCUGGGUACUGGGGUCUCUUCCAAUGAUGGCCCAAUCCAGACUGACUCAAAAUAGCAAGUCAGAAAAAUGAGGCUUAACCUUAUGUACCAUUUCAGCCUGCUGAUUGGAGAAGGGUUUUGGAAAACAUUUCAACAAGACAAA